GAUGAACGCUGGCGGCGUGCCUAAUACAUGCAAGUCGAGCGAAUGGAUUAAGAGCUUGCUCUUAUGAAGUUAGCGGCGGACGGGUGAGUAACACGUGGGUAACCUGCCCAUAAGACUGGGAUAACUCCGGGAAACCGGGGCUAAUACCGGAUAACAUUUUGCACCGCAUGGUUCGAAACUGAAAGGCGGCUUCGGCUGGCUAGUACUGAUGGACCCGCGUCGCAUUCACGAGUUGGUGAGGUAACGGCUCACCAAGGCAACGAUGCGUAGCCGACCUGAGAGGGUGAUCGGCCACACUGGGACUGAGACACGGCCCAGACUCCUACGGGAGGCGGCAGUAGGGAAUCUUCCGCAAUGGACGAAAGUCUGACGGAGCAACGCCGCGUGAGUGAUGAAGGCUUUCGGGUCGUAAAACUCUGUUGUUAGGGAAGAACAAAUGCUAGUUGAAUAAGCUGGCACCUUGACGGUACCUAACCAGAAAGCCACGGCUAACUACGUGCCAGCCGCCGCGGUAA
rnacentral:rRNA from 1 species